rnacentral:lncRNA from 1 species
AAUCUCAAAAAAAAAAAUCCUCUUUAAUUAUAUGAUUUCGUGGAGGCGACCAAUCUAGAUUCUUUUCGAUUUUUUCCCAAAAUCUUUUGGUUCGUUCUUAUCUCAGUUGUUGUAGGUAUUUUUCUGGUUCUUUCUUCCUUGGAGUUUUCAUAUCGGUGUUUCCUCUUGGAGUUUUUCAAGCAGCAAAGCUCAAAUAUGGGGAAAUAUCUCUCUUACGGAAGAAGAAGGAGGAGAAGAAGAAGAAGUUGUUUAUAACUUUCCUCUUAUGCUAAGAUUUGAAACUAUGGAAGAAAAAAAAGAUAGGAGACAUUUUGGGGUUACUUUGGACCUUAAACAACCUCUGAGAAGGGGGAUAAUGAUGCAUUUUAAGGAUCUUUGUGUCUACUUCAAGUAUGAGCGACUCCCCACCUUCUUUUUUGUGUGUGGAAGAACAAUGCGUUAACUUAAUGACUGUGAGGUGCUAGGAGAACUGCGUGAAAAGGGCUAUGAAGACUUGGAUGAGCA